CGUGUAGGCGGCCUCUUAAGUCUGGUGUGAAAGCCCGGGGCUUACCCCCGGAAGGGCACUGGAAACUGGAAGGCUAGAGUACCGGAGAGGAGGGUGGAAUUCCUGGUGUAGCGGUGAAAUGCGUAGAUAUCAGGAGGAACACCGGUGGCGAAGGCGGCCCUCUGGACGGAUACUGACGCUGAGACGCGAAAGCGUGGGGAGCAAACAGGAUUAGAUACCCUGGUAGUCCACGCUGUAAACGAUGGGCACUAGGUGUUCGGGGUAUUGACCCCCUGAGUGCCGCAGCUAACGCAUUAAGUGCCCCGCCUGGGGACUACGGCCGCAAGGUUAAA
rnacentral:rRNA from 1 species